GAAAUGCGAUAAGUAAUGUGAAUUGCAGAAUUCAGUGAAUCAUCGAAUCUUUGAACGCACAUUGCGCCCGCUAGUAUUCUGGUGGGCAUGCCUGUUCGAGAGUCAUUUCAAUCCUCAAGCCCUGGCUUGGUGUUGGGGUUCUACGGCUCCUGUAGGCUCCAAAGACUAGUGGCGGGCUCGCUAUAACUCCGAGCGCAGUACAUGUAUCUCGCUAGGGAAGUGUGGUGGGUUCCAGCCGCAAAACGCCCCAACUCACAUGACAAGGUUGACCUCGUAUCAGGUAGGAAUACCCGCUGAACUUAA
rnacentral:misc_RNA from 1 species